GGAGGGAUCAUUACAAGUACACUACCGGCCUAACCCGCCGGCUAUGUAUAACCCUUUGUUGUCCGACUCUGUUGCCUCCGGGGCGACCCUGCCUUCGGGCGGGGGCCCCGGGUGGACACUUCAAACUCUUGCGUAACUUUGCAGUCUGAGUAAAUUUAAUUAAUAAAUUAAAACUUUCAACAACGGAUCUCUUGGUUCUGGCAUCGAUGAAGAACGCAGCGAAAUGCGAUAAGUAAUGUGAAUUGCAGAAUUCAGUGAAUCAUCGAAUCUUUGAACGCACAUUGCGCCCCCUGGUAUUCCGGGGGGCAUGCCUGUUCGAGCGUCAUUUCACCACUCAAGCCUCGCUUGGUAUUGGGCGACGCGGUCCGCCGCGCGCCUCAAAUCGACCGGCUGGGUCUUCUGUCCCCUCAGCGUUGUGGAAACUAUUCGCUAAAGGGUGCCCAGGAGGCUACGCCGUAAAACAACCCCAUUUCUAAGGUUGACCUCGGAUCAGGUAGGGAUACCCGCUGAACUUAAGCA
rnacentral:rRNA from 1 species